AUUGAACGCUGGCGGCAGGCCUAACACAUGCAAGUCGAACGAGUGGCGGACGGGGGAGUAAUGUCGGGGAAACUGCCUGAAGGAGGGGGAUAACUACUGGAAACGGUAGCUAAUACAGCAUACCACAGGAUGAGCCCAGAUGGGAUUAGGGAGUAGGUGGGGUAACGGCUCACCUAGGCGACGAUCCCUAGCUGGUCUGAGAGGAGGACCGGCCCCACUGGAACUGAGACACGGUCCAGACUCCUACGGGAGGCAGCAGUGGGGAAUCUUGCACAAUGGGCGCAAGCCUGAUGCAGCCAUGCCGCGUGUAUGAAGAAGGCCUUCGGGUUGUAAAUUACUUUCAGCGGGGCGGCGUUACCCGCAGAAGAAGCACCGGCUAACUCCGUGCCAGCCGCCGCGGUAAUAC
rnacentral:rRNA from 1 species